GUGAAACGCGCCAGCGCCGAUGGUAGUGUGGGAGGUCCCAUGCGAGAGUAGGUCAUCCCCAGGC
rnacentral:rRNA from 1 species